rnacentral:lncRNA from 1 species
CUGGCUUAGUGGCUUGGUUUUUUUUUUUGAUAGAGGCUUAGUGGCUUGGUUGUGUCGGAGAAAAAUUUAGCAGUGGAUGGGUUUUUUGAACUGACAGUGCCUACGUGGUUUCUUGACGGCUUACCAUUUUUUUUUAGAAUAAACCUAUGAUCAAUGAGGUUAUUUAGGCCAUGCCAUAAUACACUGCUUUGCCUGGCAGCAGCCAGAUGGGCCUGUAUACUGAUCUGGGCUUCGGCCUGCUAGAGCUUUGUGCUUGAUGUUUUUCCUGGGCAA